rnacentral:rRNA from 1 species
AUUGAACGCUGGCGGCAGGCUUAACACAUGCAAGUCGAGCGGGGUGAUGGCGCUUGCACUAUCACUUAGCGGCGGACGGGUGAGUAAUGCUUAGGAAUCUGCCUAUUAGUGGGGGACAACAUCUCGAAAGGGAUACUAAUACCGCAUACGUCCUACGGGAGAAAGCAGGGGAUCACUUGUGACCUUUCGCUAAUAGAUGAGCCUAAGUCGGAUUAGCUAGUUGGUGGGGUAAAGGCCUACCAAGGCGACGAUCUGUAGCGGGUCUGAGAGGAUGUUCCGGCACACUGGGACUGAGGCACGGCCCAGGAUCCUACGGGAGGCAGCAGUGGGGAAUAUUAGACAAUGGGGGGAGUCCUGAUCCAGCCAUGCCGCGUGUGUGAAGAAGGCCUUAUGGUUGUAAAGCACUUUAAGCGAGGAGGAGGCUCUUUUGGUUAAUACCCAAGAUGAGUGGACGUUACUCGAAGAAUAAGCACCGGCUAACUCUGUGACAGCCGCCGCCGUAA